rnacentral:rRNA from 1 species
UACGAAGGGGGCUAGCGUUGCUCGGAAUCACUGGGCGUAAAGGGUGCGUAGGCGGGUCUUUAAGUCGAGGGGUGAAAUCCUGGAGCUCAACUCCAGAACUGCCUUUGAUACUGAAGAUCUUGAGUUCGGGAGAGGUGAGUGGAACUGCGGGUGUAGAGGUGAAAUUCGUAGAUAUUCGCAAGAACACCAGUGGCGAAGGCGGACUCACUGGCCCGAGUACUGACGCUGAGGCACGAA